UACGGGGGGGGGCAAGCGUUGUUCGGAAUUACUGGGCGUAAAGGGCUCGUAGGCGGCCAACUAAGUCGGACGUGAAAUCCCCAGGCUCAACCUGGGAACUGCGUCCGAUACUGGAUGGCUUGAAUUCGGGAGAGGGAUGCAGAAUUCCUAGGUGUAGCGGUGAAAUGCGUAGAUAUCAGGAGGAACACCGGUGGCGAAGGCGGAUCUCUGGGCCUUACCUGACGCUCAGGCGCGAAAGCUAGGGGAGCGAACAGG
rnacentral:rRNA from 1 species